rnacentral:rRNA from 1 species
AGUGAACGCUGGCGGUAGGCCUAACACAUGCAAGUCGAACGGCAGCAUAGUAAGAGCUUGCUCUUACGGGUGGCGAGUGGCGGACGGGUGAGGAAUAUAUCGGAAUCUACUUUUUCGUGGGGGAUAACGUAGGGAAACUUACGCUAAUACCGCAUACGACCUACGGGUGAAAGCAGGGGAUCUUCGGACCUUGCGCGAUUGAAUGAGCCGAUGUCGGAUUAGCUAGUUGGCGGGGUAAAGGCCCACCAAGGCGACGAUCCGUAGCUGGUCUGAGAGGAUGAUCAGCCACACUGGAACUGAGACACGGUCCAGACUCCUACGGGAGGCAGCAGUGGGGAAUAUUGGACAAUGGGCGCAAGCCUGAUCCAGCCAUACCGCGUGGGUGAAGAAGGCCUUCGGGUUGUAAAGCCCUUUUGUUGGGAAAGAAAAGCAGCAGGUUAAUACCCCGCUGUUCUGACGGUACCCAAAGAAUAAGCACCGGCUAACUUCGUG